rnacentral:rRNA from 1 species
AUUGAACGCUGGCGGCAUGCCUUACACAUGCAAGUCGAACGGCAGCGCGGGGCAACCUGGCGGCGAGUGGCGAACGGGUGAGUAAUAUAUCGGAACGUGCCCUGGAGUGGGGGAUAACGUAGCGAAAGUUACGCUAAUACCGCAUACGAUCUGAGGAUGAAAGCAGGGGACCUUCGGGCCUUGUGCUCCUGGAGCGGCCGAUAUCUGAUUAGCUAGUUGGUGGGGUAAAAGCCUACCAAGGCGACGAUCAGUAGCUGGUCUGAGAGGACGACCAGCCACACUGGAACUGAGACACGGUCCAGACUCCUACGGGAGGCAGCAGUGGGGAAUUUUGGACAAUGGGGGCAACCCUGAUCCAGCAAUGCCGCGUGUGUGAAGAAGGCC